UACAGAGGUCUCAAGCGUUGUUCGGAUUCAUUGGGCGUAAAGGGUGCGUAGGCGGCGCGGUAAGUCGGGUGUGAAAUUUCGAGGCUUAACUUCGAAACUGCAUUCGAUACUGCCGUGCUAGUGGACUGGAGAGGAGACUGGAAUUUACGGUGUAGCGGUGAAAUGCGUAGAUAUCGUAAGGAAGACCAGUGGCGAAGGCGGGUCUCUGGACAGUUCCUGACGCUGAGGCACGAAGGCCAGGAGAGCAAACGGG
rnacentral:rRNA from 1 species